AUUGAACGCUGGCGGCAGGCCUAACACAUGCAAGUCGGGCGGUAACAGGGAGAAGCUUGCUUCUCCGCUGACGAGCGGCGGACGGGUGAGUAAUGUAUGGGGAUCUGCCUGAUGGCGGGGGAUAACUACUGGAAACGGUAGCUAAUACCGCAUAAUGUCUACGGACCAAAGCGGGGGACCUCCGGGCCUCGCGCCAUCAGAUGAACCCAUAUGGGAUUAGCUUGUAGGUAAGGUAACGGCUUACCUAGGCGACGAUCCCUAGCUGGUCUGAGAGGAUGAUCAGCCACACUGGGACUGAGACACGGCCCAGACUCCUACGGGAGGCAGCAGUGGGGAAUAUUGCACAAUGGGCGCAAGCCUGAUGCAGCCAUGCCGCGUGUAUGAAGAAGGCCUUCGGGUUGUAAAGUACUUUCAGUCGGGAGGAAGGUGGUAAGGUUAAUAACCUUAUCAAUUGACGUUACCGACAGAAGAAGCACCGGCUAACUCCGUGCCAGCCGCCGCCGUAACAC
rnacentral:rRNA from 1 species